GAAUUGAGGGAUUAUGCAAAGUUUAAUGGUAUAAAUUUUCCCCAAUGGCGGUAUGGUGUCAUGCUCAAACUAAGAAAGAAGAAGUUUGAAAAACUUGUGCUCGGACAAGAUCCAAAACCAGCAGAGGUUUGAUUUCCACUGAGUAGGAAAUAAGAUUUUCUACAGUGAAUUCUGUUACGUCAAUUUUUGGGAUUCCACCCAUAAGGUGAGGUUGGUCAUAGUAAAUGUUCAGAUUUAUAUUUUUUUUGGAUACCACCCGUGAGGUGACGAUCACAUCCCAGUGAUUUUUUUUUGGAUUCCACCCAUAAGACGUUUAACAAUGAAAAUGAAGUAACGAAUCAAGAUGUUAUCGACACUUGGAUUGAAAGAGAUACUGAUGCCUGUUCCAUUAUUUACUACAAUAUCGAGCCAACAUAUCAAACUUCAAUUGAAGGAUCUGCCA
rnacentral:lncRNA from 1 species